AACGAACGCUGGCGGCAUGCCUAACACAUGCAAGUCGAACGAGACCUUCGGGUCUAGUGGCGCAUGGGUGCGUAACGCGUGGGAACCUGCCCAUAGGUUCGGAAUAACUACCCGAAAGGGGUGCGAAUACCGGAUAAUGUCUUCGGACCAAAGAUUUAUCGCCUUUGGAUGGGCCCGCGUUGGAUUAGCUGGUUGGUAGGGUAAAAGCCUACCAAGGCGACGAUCCAUAGCUGGUCUGAGAGAAUGAUCAGCCACUCUGGGACUGAGACGCGGCCCAGACUCCUACGGGAGGCAGCAGUGCGGAAUAUUGGACAAUGGGCGAAAGCCUGAUCCAGCAAUGCCGCGUGAGUGAUGAAGGCCUGAGGGUUGUAAAGCUCUUUUACCCGGGAUGAUAAUGACAGUACCGGAAGAAUAAGCUCCGGCUAACUCCGUG
rnacentral:rRNA from 1 species